ensembl:lncRNA LINC01010 long intergenic non-protein coding RNA 1010
AGACAACAUCUGGUUGGCAGCAUGUUAAGAGCCUUUGUCCUAUGUCUGGAGACUUCUUGGAAGCUGGAGCACACAAAUAGCUACAGCAAACUUGAGGAAUGGGCAUGAAUAGACUGGCUUCGGGGAACCUGCCAGCUUGGCCGUGUGGCCAAGGUAAUAGGCAAGCCAAGGCAGAGCUAGAGCUCAGAGCUGGAGGGGAAAUUAAAGCAGCAAAUGUAGAAACAUUAAGCCUGAAGAGGCGACGACGUUGAAUUCUAAAAUGCAGGCCAAAGCUCAGACUGCAAGCUGUCUGGCUGCUCCGGGUGUGCCCAGAAGUCAAAGUCCAGCAGGGGCAAAGGUGGAGGUGUGGUCCUGCACGUGGGGUGUUGGGGGGAUGUGGAAGAGGAGGUGCUUUAAGAUCCAGAGAUUCCAGCUGCCCUGGUGCACCCUUGGAAGAAUAAAAGGCUAGGAACUGGACAAGUCAGGCUCGAGUCCAAGCUGCCUGAGGAAUCGGGGAAAGAAUGGAGCUCAGAGUGGGAGGUCAGGGCAGUAUUUAAAAAUCCAGGAUAGCAGCAAAGCUGGCGGUGGCCCCUGACUCUGGUAAGGGCAGCCUGCAGCACCAUGCCAAGGGGGGCCUGACUGAUCAUGCCCUGCAUUUGCAAACAAGGAUUAGUAGGGUAUGAGUAGGAUUCUGCUGGUGCCUGGGAAGGCAGUGCCAUCUACAACUUUACAAAGUUUUAACAAAGGCCUGAAGGACACAACCUUCCCCAAAGUCCUGACGUCGCUGUUUGCUGGCAACAAAUAGAGUCAAAAGAAGAGAGGCACAGAAUGUGCCAGGGGUGUGCUGCGUACAGCCCCGAUGACCACAAGGCCUUCUUGGGUCAAGUUCUGCCAUCUCUGGUUAAGAUGGGCUCACCCUCUAGGACCCUGAUUGAGUCCUCGGACCACCAAGAGUGCCCCACCAAGAGCCUCCCUCUUCUGGUGACUCGUGCCUGCUUCCCGUGGAGAGCUCCAGAAGGGAGGAAACUGUGAGGAGGUGGAGAACGUGGCAGGGAUCCUAACUUUCUUACUGAAGGAAGUUCUUCACAAGUACCCAUCUGCCUUCAGGGAAGAAAACAUAACUCAUUUUGGUCUUUCAAAUUCAGUUCUCAAAACCAAAUCCUGUUGUCAGCAAUCUGUGUCCCAACGCCUUCUUCAGCAACAGCAUUUUCCCUGUGGAAUUAGUUUCCAAUGUUCUUUCUUAAAUAAACCACUGAAGAUUAAAAGGAAUCCAGAUACCCACCA